GAGUAACGGAGGCGCCCAAAGGUUCCCUCAGCCUGGUUGGCAAUCAGGUGUUGAGUGUAAGUGCACAAGGGAGCUUGACUGUGAGACUGACAGGUCGAGCAGGUACGAAAGUAGGGACUAGUGAUCCGGCACCGGCUUGUGGAAGCGGUGUCGCUCAACGGAUAAAAGGUACCCCGGGGAUAACAGGCUGAUCUUCCCCAAGAGUCCAUAUCGACGGGAUGGUUUGGCACCUCGAUGUCGGCUCGUCGCAUCCUGGGGCUGGAGUUGGUCCCAAGGGUUGGGCUGUUCGCCCAUUAAAGCGGCACGCGAGCUGGGUUUAGAACGUCGUGAGACAGUUCGGUCUCUAUCCGCCGUGCGCGUUGAAACUUGAGAAAGGCUGACCCUAGUACGAGAGGACCGGGUUGGACAUACCUCUGGUGGGCCAGUUGUCACGCCCGUGGCAUGGCUGGUUGGCUACGUAUGGGAGGGAUAACCGCUGAAAGCAUCUAAGCGGGAAGCCUGUUUCGAGAUGAGGUUUCGUUUGAGGUUCCCUGUAGAUUACGGGGUUGAUAGGCCGGAUCUGGACAGCAUGUGAGUGUUGGAGGUGACCGGUACUAAUU
rnacentral:rRNA from 1 species